rnacentral:rRNA from 1 species
AGAGAGUCUCUCAAAUGUUUGCAACGCGAAUGUGCCGAACUCAGAAGUGAAACGCCGUAGCGCCGAUGGUAGUGUGGGGUCUCCCCAUGCGAGAGUAGGACACUGCCAGGCA